AUUCUAAUGUGGAGGGCUGGUAGUUUUAAAUUUCUGGGCAUUUAUAUCUUGGAGGACCCUCAUAUGAGGAGUUGCUGGAGAGAGAAGAAAAACAUCUUCUCUUUUCAAUUGACAAAAGUCAUAACAUAAAAUCUGGAAAGUUUCGUUGGUCUUCAUUAUUUUUAUCUAUCAAUCGACUUACAAAAAUGUAAAAAUGUUUUUGAAAAAUGAUUAGUCUUGAAGUUUUAUCCUCUUCCAAGAGAAGAUGACUGGUGUUCAACGAUUUUGUUUAUUCAUUAUUAUAAAAUUAGAAUAAUUCUCAGGAGAUGUGACUAUUCCUGAAAUUAUGAAAACAGAGAUAUGUAGCAAUUUCAUCAAUACCAACUUUUUGCUAUUUAUUGCACAUUAUUCCCUGACUUGCUUCCAGUUAUAUUUUUCAGUGCUGACUUUCAUCUUUGCUUUUGCCCAAAAAUCAAGAGGACUCAAAAGCAGAAUUUUGGACUAUGGCAGCUUUUCAGAAGUACCACAUAAAUUUCAGGCCCGGAUAAAACAGAAGAUUGCCUUAUUGAAUUGUGAAGAGCAAAGAAACAUACCCAACCCUGACUAGUUUUUUCUGAAAAGUAAUAUAGCCUGACAAUUGGAACAAAUUAGAUUUACUCAGAGCAGACAAGUUUGCAAAUGUAUAAUAAAGUCAGUGUCUCCGGAAGGAAGAA